rnacentral:tRNA from 1 species
GCGGGCGUGGCGGAAUGGCAGACGCGCAUGUUUAAGGGGCAUGUUCGAAAGAGUGUGGGUUCGACCCCCACCGCCCGCACCA